rnacentral:lncRNA from 1 species
CCCCCCCCCCCCCCCCCUUUCCCAGCCCUGAUUUGGGGGCAGAACCCCAAAAUCCAUCACUUUGAGUGGGGUUUCGGGGCGCCUCAACCCUGGGGCGUUGGGGGUUAACGAGGCCUCGUUUCCAGAUGGGCUCAUUAAGACAGUAUUAAUUAACCCCGUUGGCUUUUAGGGUCCCUCCCGGACUGCUGAGCUCAGCGCUUUCAUCGCCUCCCUUUGGCCCCAAAUUCUCCAUUUUUCAGCCCAAAAUGCAGCGGCCCCAAAGAGCCCCAAUGGGGGUCAACUCCAAAGAUCCCCCAUUUUGGGACCCCACCCCCAAAAGGUCCCCCAAUUUAGGGUCAGCCCCAUAAGGUCUCAGUUUGGGGUCAAGCCCUGAAGAUCCCCUAAAUGGGGUCAGCCCCAAAGACACCCCAAUUUGGGGUCAGCCCCCAAACAUCUCCCGAUUGGAGUUGGCCCCAAAGCUCCCCCGAUGUGGGGCCCACCUGGAAGCCCCCCGAUUUGGGGUCGACCCCAAAAGAUCCCCCAAUUUGGGGGGUCAGCCCCAGAAGACCCUCAACUGGAGUUGGCCCCAAAGCUCCCCCAGUUGGAACCCACGUGGAAGACCCCCGAUUUGGGGUCCGUCCCCAAAGACCCCCCCCUAUUUUUUGGGGUCAGCCCCGAGGUUUCCCCUCGGCCCCAUUGGACGUCGCGACCCUUCAGUGCCUCUUUGAACCAAAAGGGCUCCGGGAGCCCAAAAAUCUCAGGGAAAAACGCCUGCGGGGACCCAAAUUUGGGGCCAAAAAGGGGGGAUUUGGGGCUAAAAGGGAGGAAUUUGGGGCUAAAAAGGGGGGAUUGGGGGCCAGAAAGGGGGGAUUUGGGGCCGCAAAUGGGGCAGAAAAAGGGCAGUUUGGGGAAAGCUGGGAGAAUUUGGGGGAAAAUGGGCCCCAAAUGGGGGUUGGGAUGGGGGUAACGGUGGCGCUGAGGCUCCCAAUGAGCGAUGUGCCCCAAAUGGAGCGUCUUAACCGCUUAAUUAACGAGCAAUUAAGUGGCCGGGGGGGGGGGGGGGGGGGGGUUCUCUUUUAACCCUUUUUCUUUUUUUUU